UAUUUUUGUGUGUUUAACCUCAAUUUAAAUAUUUUAAAAGCCAACUUGAUCAUGUACGCAACUGUGACCUUCACGGGACUUUGGGAGUGCCUAACACCUUGUCCCUGAGUUAAUUGAACCCCUUUACCCGAAUCUCUGGUGCGGACUCUGUUUUAGAGUCUGAAAUCUUUUAAAAUAAAAAAAUAAAUAUUUAAAAAAACGGAGAGCUGGCACACCAAAAUCAAAUGUCAGGUGGAGACUCUGAGUUUAUUUCC
rnacentral:lncRNA from 1 species